UGUUCUGUGGCUUAGUUGGUUAAAGCACCGGUCUAGCGAAUACGGGGUCAUGGGUUCGAAUCCCACCAGAAUGC
rnacentral:tRNA from 1 species